CUCCUCAGUCUCUCAUCAGCCCUUGCUAAACUUUAACCCAAUGGCGAUUUUAUUCUGUUGAUGGGAUCUGAGCUCUGUUCGGAUAUAUUGAGCGCUCAGAUCCAAGCUAUCUGGAGAUAGGUUGAAUGUGGGGGUUCUGUUCAGUAUAAUAGGAAUUAUGUAUUUUUAUGUAUUUUUCCUCUUGUUGUAAAUGGAUAUAUUCCCUUUACCUGGAGAUAAUUAAGUUACCAUACCCACUUAAGCCAAUUAUCUCCAGGAUAGAGGAGAAGAUAG